UGUUGCCGUGGUAAAAACUCAAAAACCC
rnacentral:piRNA from 1 species